CCGGCUCGCCCUAGUCUUUUGCUUUCUUUUUCCUGCCCCGGGCCUCGCUCUCGCGCACGGGACCACAAUGCUCCGCGCCGCUUGUCAUUUGGAGGCGCCCAAAGAAUUCAGCCAGAGGAACAUGAACCACAGAUGUUCAUCACCCUUCCCAGGACCGAGUUCAUUUUCAGCAGCCCAGGUGGGAUGACCAGAAAUGAAAGAGAGACCAAGCAACUGGUUGCUGAUCCUGCACUCUGCUCCCCCUGGCAAGUAAAUAGAGAGCCCUAGAAGAAAGACAACAAUGAUGAAACAGUUGAAUGUUAAAGACGGUGAAAAAGUACC